CGGGGUGUAGCGCAGUCUGGUAGCGCGUCUGCUUUGGGAGCAGGAUGUCGGAGGUUCGAAUCCUCUCGCCCCGACCA
rnacentral:tRNA from 1 species